AGGAAGUUACAGAGUGGGAGGAGAGAAAAAGAGGCUGGGAGGGUGGAGGAGCCCUGUCUGGGUGAAGAAGAAGGACAGGCAAAGACCAAGUGGAGCUUCCAGAAAGCUAGAGACAAAGCAAGAGAACAUCAGGUCUUAGAGGCUACUGGAAAGUUUCAUAGAAAGGAUAUCACUUGUGGCCAUGUGGACUAAGAAGGGACAACUUACCCUCCUGCCCUCAACAACUACAAAAACAGAGCAGGAAGCUUAAAGUACUUUGACAUCUGUGUCUCACACUGGCGAGGGAGCUGUGGCAGGCAAUUUGGACCUAGCUGCUCAUAGCCUGGACACGGUGAGACAAUAGUUCCUGCGCAAAGUGAACCCCGCGCAAAGCUGGAGUGGGCAGCAGCUCCUGAAGGCAAGAAUGACAAAAUCACCUUUCGAUACAUCUGUGUGGAUGUCUAACAGCCAUCACAAACAUGGCAUGUCCCCAGCUGUCUUCUUAGUAGACAGGAGAUGUCGUAACCAAAGUACAUCCCACAUUGAAGCCCUCCUCACUCCCAGCCUGCUCCAGCUGCCCAUCCCACCUGCCCAGCUCCAAUGGCUCCUGAAUUCCCUGUGUUAGCCUCACACUUUUCUGCAGUCUACUUUCCACACAGGAGCAAGAAUCUUUUAAAAUACAAGUCAGAUUUUAUUACUACCUGGA